rnacentral:snRNA from 1 species
AUCGCUUUUCGGCCUUUUGGCUAAGAUCAUGUGUAAUAUCUGUUCUUUUCAGCUUAAUAUCUGAAACGCUGCUUAUUGAGUAGCUUCGAAUAUUAAACUGAUUUUUAGAAUUAGGCCAUGGAAUAGGAGCUUGCUCCGUCCUGGCCACGGGUUGCCCUGAUAUUGCAGUACUUUCAGGAACAGCCCAUCCUCU